AUGAACGCGUAGCGGCAGGCUUAAUACAUGCAAGGUUGAGGGGCAGCAUGAUAUACGCGAGUAUAUUGAUGGCGACCGGCGGACGGGUGAGUAAUAGGUAGGAGACCUACCUCAUACAGGGGGAUAGCAUAGAGAAAUCUGUGGUAAUACCCCAUGAGGUUAUAUGAAUAGAGGCAUAUAAUCGAAAGCAUAAGCGAUUAUGCGGUAUGAGAGGGGCCUACUGACCAUUAGCUAGUUGGUGAGGUAAGGGCUCACCAAGGCGAAGAUGGUUAGGGGUUUUGAGAGAGAGACCCCCCCACAUUGGAACUGAGAGACGGUCCAGACUCCUACGGGAGGCAGCAGUAGGGAAUAUUGGGCAAUGGGCGAAAGCCUGACCCAGCCAUGCCGCGUGAAGGAAGACGGCCUUAUGGGUUGUAAACUUCUUUACUACGCGAAUAGAGGUUAGUACGAGAUACUAAUAGGAAGGUAGUGUAGUAAAAAGCACCGGCUAACUCCGUG
rnacentral:rRNA from 1 species